UAAUACGUAGGUGGCAAGCGUUGUCCGGAUUUAUUGGGUUUAAAGGGUGCGUAGGUUGUGUUGUAAGUCAGUGGUGAAAUCCGGCAGCUUAACUGUCGAUGUGCCAUUGAUACUGCAGCACUUGAGUACAGACGAGGUAGGCGGAAUUGACGGUGUAGCGGUGAAAUGCUUAGAUAUCGUCAAGAACACCGAUAGCGAAGGCAGCUUACUAGACUGUAACUGACACUGAUGCACGAAAGUGUGGGGAUCAAACAGGAUUAGAUACCCUGGUAGUCCACACUGUAAACGAUGAUUACUCGAUGUUGGCGAUACACAGCCAGCGUCUUAGCGAAAGCGAUAAGUAAUCCACCUGGGGAGUACGCCCGCAAGGGUGAAACUUAAAUGAAUUGACGG
rnacentral:rRNA from 1 species